GUAGUCUCGCACAGAUGCAUAUCAAUAAGCGGAGGAAAAGAAACUAACAAGGAUUCCCUCAGUAACGGCGAGUGAAGCGGGAAGAGCUCAAAUUUGAAAUCUUGAAAGGUCACCUUUCACGAAUUGUAGUUUAAAGAAGUGUUUUCUGUUACGAUCGUAAUAUAAGUUCUUUGGAAUAGGACAUCACAGAGGGUGAGAAUCCCGUCUAUGAUUGCGAUUUGUAGCUUUGUGAUACACUUUCAAAGAGUCGGGUUGUUUGGGAAUGCAGCCCAAAACGGGAGGUAAAUUUCUUCUAAGGCUAAAUAUUGGCGAGAGACCGAUAGCGAACAAGUACCGUGAGGGAAAGAUGAAAAGAACUUUGAAAAGAGAGUUAAAUCAGUACGUGAAAUUGUCAAAAGGGAAGCGUUUAACACCAGUGUUGUUUUCUCGAAAAUCAAUUAAAAAUGGCUCGAUUUUGUAUUGCUGAGACCUUAAAAGCUCACUGUACAUUUUUCGUGUCUUUUUUAAUGCACUUUUCGUUUAACAAGUCAACAUCAGUUUCUUUUGUUGUAAAAGGGUCAUUGGAAGGUGGCUUUCUUUUCGGAGAAAGUGUUUAUAGCCUUUGGCCUCUGCAAUCGGAGAGACUGAGGUCUGCAGCGUAGACUCUUCGGGGUUAGAUACAUUUGUGCUAAGUUAUAGCUUUUUAUAGACAACUUGUUGACUAUAAUUAGUCUUGUAGCUUACUCGCUUAUGCUAUUUUACCUACGCUUAGGAUGUUGAGUCGUAGAGCACGCAG
rnacentral:rRNA from 1 species